rnacentral:rRNA from 1 species
CGGUAAUUCCAGCUCCAAUAGCGUAUACUAACGUUGUUGCAGUUAAAAAGCUCGUAGUUGGAUUUCUGAUCUUUGCCAAUAGUAGUGUCGCCGCGUGCGAGGCUCUUUGCGCAGAGGUCAACAUAUGUCACGAGCCAGUGUGAUCUAUUUAUUUAGGUCCACUGGGUAAUGACUCGUUUACUUUGAGAAAAUUAGAGUGUUCGAAGCAGGCAUUUGCCUUGAAUAUGUUAGCAUGGAAUAAUAGCAUAGGACUUCGGUUCUAUUUGUUGGUUGUUCGAGAACUGGAGUAAUGAUUGAUAGGGACGGUUGGGGGCAUCCGUAUUCUCAAGCGAGAGGUGAAAUUCUUGGACCUUGGGAAGACGAACAGCUGCGAAAGCGUUUGCCUAGGACGUUCUCUUUAAUCAAGAACGAAAGUUGGGGGAUCGAAGACGAUCAGAUACCGUCGUAGUCUCAACUAUAAACUAUGCCAGCUAGGGAUCGGUGGGUCUUUGUCACGAGUCCAUCGGCACCUUACGAGAAAUCAAAGCAUUUGGGUUCCGGGGGGAGUAUGGUCGCAAGGCUGAAACUUAAAGGAAUUGACGGAAGGGCACCACCAGGAGUGGAGCCUGUGGCUUAAUUUGACUCAACACGGGAAAACUUACCAGGUCCGGACAUAGUAAGGAUUGACAGAUUGAAAGCUCUUUCUUGAUUCUAUGGGUGGUGGUGCAUGGCCGUUCUUAGUUGGUGGAGUGAUUUGUCUGGUUAAUUCCGUUAACGAACGAGACCCGCGCCUGCUAAAUAGUCGGCCUCACUUCUGUGGGUGUUGUACUUCUUAGAGGGACCAUCCUGGGUAUACCGGAAGGAAGUUGCGGGCAAUAACAGGUCUGUGAUGCCCUUAGAUGUACUGGGCUGCACACGGGCUACACUGCAAGAUACAACAAGCGUCGAUCACGCCUGACUGGAAGGUCCGGCCAAUCUUUGAAUAUCUUGCGUGAUUGGGAUAGACCAUUGCAAUUAUUGGUCUUCAACGAGGAAUUCCUAGUAAACGCGUGUCAACAACACGCAUUGAUUACGUCCCUGCCCUUUGUACACACCGCCCGUCGCUCCUACCGAUUGGAUGUUUCGAUGAGCUGUUUGGAGGACUAAGCUGAAAGCGUCAGCCGGAAGCUACGUCCGAAAUUGGGCAAAUCUGAAUAUCUAGAGGAAGGAGAAGUCGUAAAAGGGUAACC